GAGCCCCGCCCCAGUCACCGCCCCGGGGCUGUCUCGGGCGGUUAGGUCCGGCGUGAGCUUUUCUUUUAACUGGUGCGCCCACCAUGACGAUCACCUACAGCUGUAUUGCUAAUGGCCGAGCGGUCCUAGCGGAGCUGGCCCUGACCGGCGGCUCCUAUCAGGAAGCAGCAGCAACAGUGCUUCGACUGGUGCUUCUAAGAGCUGAGCCCAAGACCAUCAUGCAGAUGGGAAGCUUUGUCUACCAUACUCUCUUUAUCAAUGGAAUCACUUACCUAUGUGCCACAGACAAUGCCUUGGAUACUUUAACACCAUCUUCAUUUCUUAAAAAUGUUAGUGACACUUUUCUGAGAAAUCCUUUGAUGUCGCAAGAACAUUUUUCUCCUUCAAAUGCAGUUGCUGCAGAUUUUCAACAAGUAUUAGGGAAGUAUAUGAUGAAAUACAAUAAAAAUCAAGGUGAUAGCUCGAUGUCUACACUCAAGAGCCAAGUAACUGAUGUAAAAAAUAUUAUGUCCAAAAAUAUUGAUGAAAUUUUGGGAAGUGAAGAAAGAUUGAAUAUCUUCACUGAUAGAACCGAUGAUCUCCAAACAACCGCCGAAGAGUCCCAAAAAACAAGAAAGAUUCUUAGGAGGAUAUGGUGGAAACACUUCAGAAAGAUUAUAGUCAUCACCGUGGUAAUUCUCCUUUCAAUCAUCAUCAUUCUUUUAAGUACAAAUGUAAUACCAACCUGACCCUCUUUCUCCACAACCCCAGAAGUUACCAAUAAAUUGUUGUGUGUAAAUAGAGGUUCUACAAUCAACAACUAUGAAAGCAUUUUCCAGUGAUAGGAAGACUGGAGGGAGAAGGGUUUGGAAGUUUCUUCUUGUCCUUUUAGUAUGUUUUAUUGACUCUUGUAUCUCUUCCAUUUCGGUAAUGCCACCGGUUUUUUCCCACUGCUCCAGCUACUUUCCCAGCCUCUUCCCUUUAAAAAGCACAAACCCCGGAAUCAGACCACUGAAGUUUAACUCUCCACCACAAACCAUCAGGUGACUUUGAAUAAGUUAUUUAAUCCAUGCCUGUUUCCUCAUCUGUAAACAGGAGCUAGUAAUAAUACUAUGUAGAAUUAUGUCUACCACAUAGUAAAUGCUAUUUAAGUGUUAACUAUUACUUAAUAGGAAAAAUGAUUACAUUUUUGGCAUUAAAUCCCUGUUACCUUACUCCUUACUCAGAAGGAAAAUGACUGUGACCUCAUCAUUAAUUCCCUUAGAAAUAAAAGUUUGGAGUGCCUGGGUAGCUCAGUUGGUUGUGUUGAUUCUUGAUUUUGGCUCAGGUCAUGAUCCUGGGGUUGUGGGAUCGAGCCCAUCGUACUCUGCCCUGAGCAAGGAAUCUGCUUAAGACUCUGUCUCUCCCUCUCUUUGCCCUUCCCCUGCUCUAAAACUAAGUUAAAUCAAAAUAAAAUAAAGAUAAAUAAACAUAAAUUAGUCUUGACUACACAGUCCAGAAAUAAACAUUCACCUCUUCUACAGAUUAUUUCUUUUGAAAUGACUAUUCAAACCAUUGUUUUAUAUUAGACAUUGCCUUGGGUAAAGAUUUUAAAAUUAGGAAGUUGUAUUGGAUCUCUAAUAAAUCACAGGUCCUGUUCUAUUUUACCACCCCAACAGCCUUUUUUCCCCCCACAUUUCACUCAAUAACCUCAAAUCACUAAGAUACCUAAUAACCAAAACAUCCAGCUUCAUCUGCAGUUGGUAACAAGGUUUCAGGAAUUAUAUUUCCUAAGUGGAAACUGAGGUCUAAAGUAGUUUUAAAAAUCACCUAGUUGGGCACCUGGUUGGCUCAGUUGGCUAAGUAUCCAGUUUCAGCUCAGGUCAUGAUCUCAGUCUGUAGGUUUGAGCCCCGCAUCGGGCUCUGUGCUGACAGCUCAGAGCCUGGAGCCUGCUUCAGAUUCUACAUCUCCUCUCUCUACCCCUACUCCACUCGCGCUCGCUCUCUCUCUCUCUCUCUCUCUCUCUCUCUCUCUCUCUCUCUCUCUCUCAAAAGUAAAUAAACAUUUUUUAAAAAUCACUUAGUGAUCCAUGGGGAAGAGUAAAAACAGGCAUUCCUAUCUGCUACAUAACUCACUUUAGUUCUAAUAAUGAUCAAGUAUCAGCAUUUUAAAUAGACACCAAGCUUGCUAUUCCUCCAGCACAAUAUCACCUUUCUAUGCACAAAAUAUUUUUAAAGGAUUUUAAAUGUUAGCAACUUCAGAGUUUGUAAUUUAUAUCCAGGAAAAAAUAGGUGAUCUAUUGAAUAUAUACUCUGAUAUAAUGCACUAAGUGCUUUGGAGAAGUGUCUCAUUAAUUUUACAAUGACAUAGAGGUAAAAACUAUUUAGAAAGUAAGGCACAUAGAGGAGUGGCUGGCACAUACAUAAGUGCUGCGUAAAUGUUUGUUCAUAUUAUCUUUAUUUUGCAGAUAAGAAAAUAGCCAAGUUAAAGGAUAUACUCAAGGUCACACAGCUAGAAAGCUAAGAUUCUACUAAUUUAAAGUCCUGGCUGUUGUAUAUAUGAAAUCUGUAUUUUUAACUCGGAGUAUAUUAUCUGCCCCCUUAACUGUGGGCCAGAUAAGACGCACGAGUAGUUUUGCUUUUCGUAGGUUGGUAGGUUGUUUUGAGGAGGGGAGACGGGAAUUUAAAGAGGAGUAUUAUGAGAAGAGACUAUUUUGCUCUUAGUUUUAAAGCCUAUAUGAUGUCUCCUAAGAUUUUUGUAACAUAAUUACGUAUAAAACGAUGUAUUUGUUUCCUGAUUGCCAGUGAAUACUAGCAUAUGUAUUGCUGGAAAACAUUUACUUACAGAUCACCUAAGCUACCCCCUCCCCAGUUUUACAUGGUAGGAUGCCAAGACCCAGGAGCCUAAAAUUGAAGAACAUCUUGUGACAAGCUCCUCUCCACUUGCAGGACAAAUAAGACACAGGCUGUCACCCUGGUCCCAGGCGAGAAGUCCCACAUAACGCUGGUUUUCCCAGCAGUCUUAGAGCUUAAGAGUUAGGAAGAAAAGCCCUUGUUUAGUAAGGAGUGUUCAUCUGCUAUUUAUGCUACAUCUGGGUAGAAAAUACCUGAGUAGACAGAAACAAAUAUUAAGGCAAUCUUAUUGAUUUAUGCAUUCACACAUUUUUGAGCUCCUACUCUGCACCAACAUAGUUCUAAAACAUUAGGAAAUAUUGUAAAUUACCACACAAAUAGAGAUAAUGGAUGUUUGAGAAAUUAGUGGCUAUAUAUAGAAGUGUAAGAAAUGGUCCUAAUCCCAAUGAAGCUUACAUUCCAGUUGAGGCAGCAAGACCAAUAAAAAUCAUAAGCACAUGAAAACAACAUCUACUUAAGUGGCACACUGUGCACCAGAGAAUAAAUUCAAUAAAGAUAAUGAUGAACAUCAGCUUCAGUCACUGAGGGAGAUUUUGUGGGUUAUAAAUGGGGCUGGUAAUUGGAUAUUAGAAACUGAAUUUAUCUUGGGGUGCCUGGUGGCUCAGUCGGUUAAGUAUCCAAUUCCUGAUCUUAACUCAGGCCCUUGAUAUCUGGGUUGUGAGAUCAAGGUUGGAUUCCAUGCUGGGCGAGAUGCCUACUUAAAAAAAAAUUAUCUCAAUAGGUCAAGGCAGUCAACAGUAACAGUUAAGUAUUGAACACUUACUAUGUGCCAGUAGCUGUUUAAGUACUUUAGAGAUUCUUUUUUAAUCCUCACAACCCUGGCGUAGGGACUAUUAUUUCCAUUUUACAGAUAAGAAAACUGAAGGACAAGCUAGGUCACUUGCCAGACUCCCCCAGGCUAGGGGUAGGAACGAGGAUCAGCAAGACACGCUUGCUGUGGGAGGUGCAGAAGGUGGAGUAGGCCCUGGAGUCCGUCCUGCACUCAUUCAUCAGAUGGCCUUCAACAGUGCUCAGCCUUUGGCUCCCACACUCUCUAGGGUGCUCUUGUUUACUCCCAUGACAUUGCCUUCUCCAGCAAGUAACCUCUUCUGAAUUCCAAACCAUUUUCCAACCCUCUACUGGAUACACCCACUUGGAUAACAUGCAAACACCUUAAAUUUUAAAUCCCAAAAACAGCUAUGUAUUCUUCCCUCAUUCUCCACAAAAAUGCUUCCUUGACCUUAUUUCUUAUCUAUAAAGGCUUUCACACUAUUCUGUAAUCCUGAACUUUUUUAACCAACUUUCUGCUCAUCUCAAAUUACUCACCAAACUCAAGGGACUCCUACACCAAAUCUGAAGGUUCAUAGCCAGGGAAGCCCAGAGUUACAGAAGCAGAAGUGGGAAGUCCUAGUAGAUGCCCAGGCAAACUUUGAAAAGGGCACUCAUCCCAUCUUGGUAGAUAGCUAUGUCUAUCUACUCCACACAAGCCUGGCCACAGUAUACUCUUCAUAUUCAGACGGCUCAGCACAUAUUAAGCGUUAACAUUUGAUACCUUUUCAUGUGUGAGAUUUCCAUAGCUCUUAAACAUGGUCAUAGCAAUAAAUAUGAAGCUUUGGUUUUCAACUCUAAUCAGACUCAGAGGAUAUUAAUAGUACAGAUGCCU
rnacentral:lncRNA from 1 species